GGCGCUAUAGCCAAGUGGUUACGGCGACAGAUUAGAAUUGGAAAGAAAAUCCAUCGAAUAGAUAAUCUGUUCCUCUUUGAGGGCGCAGGUUCAAAUCCUGCUGGCGUCG